rnacentral:rRNA from 1 species
GUGGAUGCUGGACCGUAGAGGGUGAGAGUCCCGUAGUCGAAAUGUGUUCCGCCGCCACUACCCACAGGAAGAGAAAACAAAAGUGAUUCCGUUAGUAGUGGCGAGCGAACGCGGAUGGGGCUAAACCGUAUGUGUGUGAUACCCGGCAGGGGUUGCAUGUGCGGUGUUGUGGGCCCCUCCUUGUCAUGUCUGCCGGCAUGGCGCAGUGAGGUGCGGGCAUAUAGACGAACCAGUGUGGAUGCUGGACCGUAGAGGGUGAGAGUCCCGUAGUCGAAAUGUGUUCCGCCGCUGUUGGAGGGUUGCCCGAGUAGCACGGGGCCCGAGGAAUCCCGUGUGAAUCUGCCAGGACCACCUGGUAAGCCUGAAUACUACCUGUUGACCGAUAGCGGAUCAGUACCGUGAGGGAAUGGUGAAAAGUACCCCGGGAGGGGAGUGAAAUAGUACCUGAAACCGGGCGCUUACAAGCCGUCAGAGCCUUUCCUUUGUGGGGGUGAUGGCGUGCCUAUUGAAGAAUGAGCCUGCGAGUUAGCGCCGUGUCGCGAGGUUAACCCUUGGGGGGUAGCCGUAGCGAGAGCGAGUCUGAAAGGGCGAGUUAAGUGGCACGGUCUAGACCCGAAGCGGGGUGAUCUACCCAUGGCCAGGUUGAAGCACGUGUAAGAGCGUGUGGAGGACCGAACCCACCUAGGUUGAAAACUGGGGGGAUGAGCUGUGGGUAGGGGUGAAAGGCCAAUCAAACUCCGUGAUAGCUGGUUCUCCCCGAAAUGCAUUUAGGUGCAGCGUCUCGUGGUCCCCGGCGGAGGUAGAGCUACUGGGUGGCUGAUGGGCCCCACAGGGUUACUGACGUCAACCAAACUCCGAAUGCCGUUCGGGUUAUAGCGGGGCAGUGAGACAGCGGGGGAUAAGCUCCGUUGUCGAGAGGGAAACAGCCCAGAUCGCCGGCUAAGGCCCCUAAGCGUGUGCUAAGUGGGAAAGGAUGUGCGGUCGCGCAGACAACCAGGAGGUUGGCUUAGAAGCAGCCAUCCUUGAAAGAGUGCGUAAUAGCUCACUGGUCAAGUGAUCGUGCGCCGACAAUGUAGCGGGGCUCAAGCACACCGCCGAAGCCGCGGACCCAUCACGUGUUCCCUACCGGGUUUGUCCUGGUCAGGGGUGGUGGGUGGUAGGGGAGCGUCCUGCACCGGGUGAAGCCGCAGAGUGAUCUAGUGGUGGACGGUGCGGGAGUGAGAAUGCAGGCAUGAGUAGCGAUACUAGGGUGAGAAGCCCUAGCGCCGAAUGACCAAGGGUUCCAGGGCCAGGCUAGUCCGCCCUGGGUGAGUCGGGACCUAAGGCGAGGCCGACAGGCGUAGUCGAUGGAUGACGGGUUGAUAUUCCCGUACCGGCGAAGCACCGCCCAUGCUGACGCGCGGGUGCUAACCCACGCCCGGCACCACAAUCGCGCCUUCUGGUGGCUUCGGCUGCCUGUUGGUGUGGUGGUGUGGGGUCUGGGGACCCUCCGUGCAGGUAGGCAAGCGUGUUAACAGGGGUGACGCACAGUGGUAGCCUCCGCGGGCCUAAUGGCUUGGCCCGUUCAAGCGAGCAGCCCGACAGCCAGGCAAAUCCGGUUGUCUUCCUUUGAUGGUAAGGGUCAGACGUGAUGGUGACCUGCCCUUCUCGGGUGGGGAAGUAGGGUGAUCCUGGGGUGCCGAGAAAAGCCUCGACGCGAUGGUGCCAGCCGCCCGUACCCUAAACCGACACAGGUGGUCGGGCAGAGUAUGCCUAGGCGCACGAGUGAAUCAUGGUGAAGGAACUCGGCAAAAUGCCCCCGUAACUUCGGGAGAAGGGGGGCCCGAGCCUUGAAGCCCUUUUUUGCGGGCUAGGGGUGAGGGUCGCAGAGACCAGGGAGAAGCGACUGUUUACUAAAAACACAGGUCCGUGCGAAGCCGCAAGGCGAUGUAUACGGACUGACGCCUGCCCGGUGCUGGAAGGUUAAGAGGAACCGUCAACCCCCGUCGUGGGGUGAAGCGGUGAAUUUAAGCCCCAGUAAACGGCGGUGGUAACUAUAACCAUCCUAAGGUAGCGAAAUUCCUUGUCGGGUAAGUUCCGACCUGCACGAAUGGCGUAAUGAUGGCCAGGCUGUCUCCACCCGAGACUCAGUGAAAUUGAACUCGCUGUGAAGAUGCAGUGUACCCGCGGCAAGACGGAAAGACCCCGUGAACCUUUACUAUAGCUUGACACUGAACAUUGAGCCUUGAUGUGUAGGAUAGGUGGGAGGCUUUGAAGUGUGGACGCCAGUCUGCAUGGAGCCGACCUUGAAAUACCACCCUUUAAUGUUUGAUGUUCUAACGUUGACCCGUAAUCCGGGUUGCGGACAGUGUCUGGUGGGUAGUUUGACUGGGGCGGUCUCCUCCUAAAGAGUAACGGAGGAGCACGAAGGUUGGCUAAUCCUGGUCGGACAUCAGGAGGUUAGUGCAAUGGCAUAAGCCAGCUUGACUGCGAGCGUGACGGCGCGAGCAGGUGCGAAAGCAGGUCAUAGUGAUCCGGUGGUUCUGAAUGGAAGGGCCAUCGCUCAACGGAUAAAAGGUACUCCGGGGAUAACAGGCUGAUA